GUUUUUUUGUGGAGUUUUGGAUUUUCAGUUCGUCUACCUGCCCUCCAGUGACUGUGAGUUGAUUUAAUUAGAUGAUUACUGGGGUUACUGUUGCUGGGCCUAACUAUCGUUCAGCUCUUCUAGCAGGAGAUCAGGAGCAGAGCGUGGAAGCAGGGAGCAACCAAAACAAAUGCAUUGUGUUGGGCGAAAAAGAAUCACAGCUUGUUUGAAGGCUCCCAGAUUUUCAGCAUGCUUGAUCUGCAGCCCGCAGCGCCAGAGCCAUUAUUCACAGAUGAUGCUGAUGUUUUUCAGAUGGUGACUAUAAGGCAGCCAGCGGAACAUCAGGGGUGACCUGGAGCCAGCCCACUUUCCACGGCCAUAAUGAAGACUUUGGCGUUUAGGGAGCUUUUGGCUCAAUAAGCUGAGAGGUGGAAGAAAUUCAUGCAAAGCCUAAUUGAACAAUGAAAACAGAACAAGUAUCUCUCCACUGACUCAUGGGGAGGCCAAUUGCCAAGUGUCAGGAAUGCUGCCAUCGCUCUCCUCCUGCAAGGACGUUUCCAGGGUCCAAAUGACGCCCUGCAAGUCUUUGCAACCUAGAGAAAAGAUGGAGCGGAAGAGGGAAUGUGAUUCCAUAGAGGCAGGGUUGAAUAAGAAAUUAUGACACAACGAGGAAGAGAGUGGGAUGAAUGGUGUGCGUCAUCGUGCAAAAUGACAAUCUGAUGUGUCCCAUAAAAGAUUUAGUCCUUGUAAUCGAAAGACAAAAAAAUG